CACGAACGCUGGCGGCAGGCUUAACACAUGCAAGUCGAGCGCCCCGCAAGGGGAGCGGCAGACGGGUGAGUAACGCGUGGGAAUCUACCCAUCUCUACGGAAUAACGCAUGGAAACGUGUGCUAAUACCGUAUACGUCCUUCGGGAGAAAGAUUUAUCGGAGAUGGAUGAGCCCGCGUUGGAUUAGCUAGUUGGUGGGGCAAAGGCCUACCAAGGCGACGAUCCAUAGCUGGUCUGAGAGGAUGAUCAGCCACACUGGGACUGAGACACGGCCAAGACUCCUGCGGGAGGCAGCAGUGGGGAAUAUUGGACAAUGGGCGCAAGCCUGAUCCAGCGAUGCCGCGUGAGUGAUGAAGGCCCUAGGGUUGUAAAGCUCUUUCACCGGUGAAGAUAAUGACGGUAACCGGAGAAGAAGCCCCGGCUAACUUCGUGCCAGCAGCCGCCGUAACAC
rnacentral:rRNA from 1 species